ensembl:miRNA microRNA 183
ACUCCUGUUCUGUGUAUGGCACUGGUAGAAUUCACUGUGCAACCCCGCGGUCAGUGAAUUACCAUAGGGCCAUAAACAGAGCAGAGAAAGACCCGCG